rnacentral:rRNA from 1 species
CCUACGGGAGGCAGCAGUAGGGAAUAUUGGGCAAUGGACGAGAGUCUGACCCAGCCAUGCCGCGUGCAGGAAGAAGGCUUUCUGAGUCGUAAACUGCUUUUGACAGGGAAGAAUAAGCACUACGUGUAGUGUGAUGACGGUACCUGCAGAAUAAGCACCGGCUAACUCCGUGCCAGCAGCCGCGGUAAUACGGAGGGUGCGAGCGUUGUCCGGAUUUAUUGGGUUUAAAGGGUGCGUAGGCGGCCUUUUAAGUCCGGGGUGAAGCCCGUUGCUUAACAACGGAACUGCCCUGGAUACUGAGAGGCUUGAGUACAGACGAGGUUGGCGGAAUGGACCGAGUAGCGGUGAAAUGCAUAGAUACGGUCCAGAACCCCGAUUGCGAAGGCAGCUGACUAGGCUGUUACUGACGCUGAGGCACGACAGCGUGGGGAGCGAACAGGAUUAGAUACCCUGGUAGUCCACGCCGUAAACGAUGGAUACUCGCUGCGAGCUAAGAUUGUUCGUGGUCGUUAGGAACCGGAAGUAAGUAUCCCACCGUCGGGAGGUACGCCGGCGAACGGUAGAAACGUUAAAGGUAAAGUUAGACGGCGUGAGACGUGCCGACGGACGACGACGAGGGAGGUUAGG